rnacentral:rRNA from 1 species
UUGGAGGGCAAGUCUGGUGCCAGCAGCCGCGGUAAUUCCAGCUCCAAUAGCGUAUAUUAAAGUUGUUGCAGUUAAAAAGCUCGUAGUUGAAUUUCGGGAUCAAUAUGUUGGUCGUGCCUUGGUACGUACUAAUUUAUUGGUUUCUUCCUUCUGACGAACCUUGAUGUCAUUAAUUUGGUGUCUUGGGGAAUCAGGACUGUUACUUUGAAAAAAUUAGAGUGUUUAAAGCAGGCAUUAGCUUGAAUACAUUAGCAUGGAAUAAUGAAAUAGGACGUUUGGUCCUAUUUUGUUGGUUUCUAGGAUUGACGUAAUGAUUAAUAGGGAUAGUUGGGGGCAUUAGUAUUCAAUUGUCAGAGGUGAAAUUCUUGGAUUUAUUGAAGACUAACUACUGCGAAAGCAUUUGCCAAGGAUGUUUUCAUUAAUCAAGAACGAAAGUUAGGGGAUCGAAGACGAUCAGAUACCGUCGUAGUCUUAACCAUAAACUAUGCCGACUAGGGAUCGGAUGAUGUUAAUUUUUUAAUGACUCAUUCGGCGCCUUACGGGAAAC